GUGCUCGCUUUGGCAGCACAUAAUCUAAAAUUGGAACAAUACAAAGAAGAUUAGCACUGUCCCUGUGCAAGGAUGACAUGCAAAUUUGUGAAGCGUUCCAUAUUAGA